UGCCUUCUGAGUUCUGGGAUUAAAGGUGUGCGCCACUACUGCCUGACUGAGUCUAGCUCUUUUAAGAUAGUAGAUAUGAGCCCAGCGUUGUGGCACUGGCUUGCAAUAUAAGUUCUUGGAAAGGUGAGGCAAGAAGAUAAUGUGUUCAAAGCCAGCCUUGGCUACACAGUGAAUUUGAGAACAACCUGAGCUCCACAGUGACAACCUGUCACAGAGAAGCACUGGUAGAUAAAAAACAUACAAUAACAUUUCUUUCUAAUUUCUAGGUACUUUUCCUUUAAAGUUGUUAGCAUCUAAUAGUUUUCAAUAUUUCAAAUUAGGGUCAUUUGCCAGUACAGCAUUAGUUUGCCCAGAGCACUGAACUACUUGUAAAGCUAUAAUCAGGGGAGUGCCCCUUUACAGAAUUGUUGCAAUCGUUAAUGCAUAUUAAAUUAACUUUUGGAUGGUUUAAAUAAGAAUGUCCCUCAUAGGCUCGUGUAUUUGAACACUUGCUUCUCAGUUGGUGGUGCUGUUUGGGGAGGUUUAGGAUGUCUUGCUGGAAGUAGUAUGCCACUAGGGGUGGGCUUUGAGUGUUUGCAGUCUCUCCCCACCUCCAGUUGCUCUCUCUGCUUCCUGCUUGCAGUUGAGGAUGUGCGCUCUCAGCUUCCUGCUCCAGCUGCCAUGCCUGCUGCUUGCUGCCAUGCUUCCCUGCCAUGAUGAUCGUUUAUCUCUCUGGAUCCGUGAGCCUAAAUAAACCCUUCAUUCUUUUCAGGUCUUCCAUUAAGGUAUUGGAUCCAUUUGUGUUGAUUCUGGUACAGAGAGAAGGCUUCAUGUUUCAUCCUACUACAUGUGAGUUGACACCAUGUUUUCUGACAUCAUUUUAAGGAUAAGUUGAUUAUAAAUGCACACAGUCAUGUGUCUAUUUUAUUUAACUUCUGUGUGUUUUCAUAUGUCAAUGCCAUGUUUCAUAGUUAUUUCCAUUUUGAAUAUGCAAUGCUUCCAAACUUGGUUCUUUUUUUUUUCAAGUUUGUUAUUCUGGGACAUUAUGCUUCCAUAUAAUAUUUUAGUGUUAUCUUUCUAGCUCUGUGAACAAUGCUAUUAGUAUUUUGGUAGGGUUUGCUUUGAAUCUAAAAAUUAUUUUAGAUAACAUAGAUAUUUAGAAAUAAUAAUUUGUCCAGUUCAUGAAAACUGAGGAGUAAUUUAUUUGCCAGAGGCAAUUGCAAUGCUACAUAAUGCUGAGUUUGUGGCAUUAUUGUUGAUAAGGCUUUUGCAGGUCUGUGAUGAAAUAGAGAAUGUGGGACAAGAAGAAAUACAAAAUGUACAGUUUGGGGAUAUAGAUUGGCUGAAAGAGGGAAUAUAAUCGUUAAGGAGACUAACAACACUAAAGAGAAGCCUGCUCUGCACUUGCAUAAAUAGUAGUGUUCCUUCAGGGCAAGAUUCCACCCAGCUAAGCUUCUGACUUGGGAAAGAGAGCCUAGAGUGGUUUCUGCUUCUAGAAAGCAACAGCAAAUAAAAGUUGCUGCAUGGAAUUCAGGGAAGUGUGGGUCCAUCCUGAGUUGGCAGCCUAACUUGGCAGCAUCGUUCAUGUGAUGCUGGCUUUAGGGGCAUGGAAGAUGCAAGAGUAAAAGUGGUUGUAUUUAUGGCAGUAUGUGUCAGGGGAAUCCCUGCAUGAAGGCCCUGAGAGGCCACUGCAUGAAGUUGCAAAAAUGAAGCCUGUCUCCAAGAGGUUAGUGAUGUCUGAGUUGGGAGACAUCUGCCCAGGAGAGCUACAUACAUGAAGUGAAAGCAGCCUAAGAAGGAGAUGUAUGUUGUAGGCACCAAAGCUGAAAGGACAGAGCCUUCUAAGUCCUUUAAUGUGGAGCAUAGAGCUAUAGGAUUUAGUGUUUGCCAUUCUGGGUCCUGUCUUCCUUUGUCCCAUUUUUCCUACCCAUGUCUCCUUUCUUCCCUUUGGGGAUGGUAACGCAUAUUCUGUGUCAUUGUAUGUUGGAAGUAUGUAAUGUGCCUUUUUAUUUACAGGAAGCUGCAAUUAAGAGAUUGCCUUGAGUCUCAAAAGAGACUUUGCACGUUGGCCUUUUAAGCAGUGUCGGGACUUUAAAGAAUGGGACAUUUUAAAGCUUGACUGGAUGCAGUUUGCAUUAUAAUAUGGCCAUCAGUCAGUCUGUGGAGGCCGCGGAGUGGAAUGUGAUGGUUUGAAAGAAGUUUUCCCCUAUAGGCUUAUGUAUUUGCACACUUGGGCCCCAGUUUGUGGUGCUAUUAUGGGAUGGUUAGGAGGUGUGGCCUUCCUGGAGGAAGUAUACACUGGAAACAGGUUUGGAGUGUUUGUAGUAUCACCCUAUGUCCAGUUUGCAGUCUGCGCUUCACACUUGUAACUGAGGAUGUGAGCUCUCAGCUUCUGGCUCCAGCUGCCAUGCUUGCCUCUUGCUACUAGUAGUGCUGCCCCGUGGUGAUGCAUGAAGGGGGUUUGUCCCUCUGGAACCAUAAGCCAAAAUAAACUCAUUUUUCUAUAA